GGGGGCGACAUUGGUUUCGACGGGAUAAAUGAGUGUUUAGGAGCAUGUGGCGGGGAGGACGGCCCACCUUACAAAACGUCUAAAAAAUAUAGUUGCAGAUGACAACUUUGAAUACGCAAUGGCUGCCUAAUUUAAUUAAGUAGUUAGUAUUCUUUUUAAACAGGGACCUAUAACCUCCCUGGCCGAGUCUAAACUUUCGUGUGUUGAGGUUUAUGCUUGGUUCAUAUUGAGACACACUCGCUGAUCAGGAUGCCGUGACUGUGAUGUUAAAUUUUAAGCGGACGGCUUAAUUGUGGUAGGUCACUCGACAGCAGUUAAGAGAUUUUUAAAGAGUGACUAAACAUGUAGUAGCCUGGCGCAAAACUUUGUUGCGGACGGGGGUUCAACUCCCCCCGCCUCCACCA
rnacentral:tmRNA from 2 species